ACACAAGUGUAGGUUGGACUUGUCCCAAGGGUCAGCGAUUUGCCCUUCCUGGGUGGUCCCACCCCUGCCAAACGCAGAUAAUAAACAGAUCCGGGGAGAGCACGCGCUCACUCAGGGAGCAGCUGGGCCCCGAACCCAGGUUUCUGGCUCCCUGGCCAGGCCUCCGGUCUGGAGUUGCUGGGACAAGGGCCUGAGUGGCUCCCCGGGCCCCCCACGGGCCGUGAUGCCGACGUGACUGCCACAGAGCGCCCCGCAGCCCGGCCUUGUUCCAGGCAGCGGCCUGCCCGCUCCGACGGGAAGCGGCCCCUGGAGACCAGGUAGAUGGGCCCCGGCCCCCGCCCCAGCGACACUGGCCCAUCAGAGGCGGCUCGGUUCCUCCCCUUGCCCCCGUCAAGCAGCCUCCUGCCUCGUGCCUUCAGCCCCCGCCAAACAAAGGUGGCCCAUCGCUCAAGUUCAUGAGUUAGAGACCCGUGUCCCUUCUGUGCUGGACUCGCAUUGGAGCCAUGUGACCGCCCAGAGCCUGGACAUCCCGGUCCCCGCAGAGUCCGUGAACCGUGUCCCUGCUGUCAGCGAGCUCUGGCUCCCACGCGUGGCCUGCAGGAACCAAAUCGUCAGGAACAGAAUCGGAUGUUCCAUCCAAGUCCCACUUGGCAGAAAUGAACCCCAUUCAUUUUGUCAGCCGUGGGCUGGGCUGGACGCUUUCUCUGUUCUCCUGGGUCCCAGUCCCAGCUCCCUCCAACAGCCGUAGGUCCUUAGAUGCAGCACCGCCCCUCUCUGGGCUUUCCUCCUGGGACAUAAAGUGAAGAAGCUGGACUCCAAAGAUCUGGGACCAGCCUAGGCAGUUUCUGUACCAUCCCCACCUUCUCCUGGCCCUUCUUCCGCGUCUAUGUGUUCCAUUUCGCCCUCCCUCACAAUUCUGCCCCAGAAAUUGAAGCAAAGCGCAGAUGGGACUUUUAUGAGUCUUGCUGACCUUCUCAUUGUGGGUGGGAAGACCCGGGUGGCUAGAGCAUUGGGCAGGUCAGUGGGCUGGGGCGAGCCGGCCCAGUUCCCACUCUUGCCCCCUGAUCGUAGCCCUGGCACCAGAGUA
rnacentral:lncRNA from 1 species